CCUACGGGUGACAGCAGUGAGGAAUAUUGGUCAAUGGGAGGAAUCCUGAACCAGCCAUGCCGCGUGCAGGACGACGGCUCUACGAGUUGUAAACUGCUUUUGUACCGGGGUAAAAUGCUCUACGAGUAGGGUUUUGAAAGUACGGUACGAAUAAGGGUCGGCUAACUCCGUGCCAGCAGCCCCGGUAAUAAGGAGGAUCCGAGCGUUAACCGGAUUCUUUGGGGUUAAAGGGGGCGUAGGUUGUUCUAUAAGGUAGCGGUGAAAUACCGAUGCUCAACAGCGGGGCUGCCGCUGAUACUGUCGGACUAGAGAGCGGAUGAAGCAGGCGGAAUGUGUGGUGUAGCGGUGAAAUGCAUAGAUAUUACACAGAACACCGAUUGCGAAGGCAGCUUGCUAGGCCGGAUCUGACACUGAUGCACGAAAGCGUGGGGAUCGAACAGGAUUAGAUACCCGUGUAGUC
rnacentral:rRNA from 1 species